rnacentral:rRNA from 1 species
GACGUAGGGCGCGAGCGUUGUCCGGAUUUAUUGGGCGUAAAGAGCUCGUAGGCGGCUUGUCGCGUCGUCCGUGAAAACCUGUGGCUCAACUGCAGGCUUGCGGUCGAUACGGGCAGGCUGGAGUUCGGUAGGGGAGACUGGAAUUCCUGGUGUAGCGGUGAAAUGCGCAGAUAUCAGGAGGAACACCGGUGGGCGAAAGCGGGGUCUCUGGGCCGAUACUGACGCUGGAGGAGCG